rnacentral:lncRNA from 1 species
GCAUCACUUACUACUGACUUGAUCGCUAUUGAAUUCAGCAUCAUGGCUAGCUAUUUGUCAAUACAUGCAAUUGGAAGCUGCUGAAUCUGAUUGUAUGGCCGUGGGCAUAAAUGGAUCUAACACAAAUCUUUUUAUCUUUAUUUUUUUAGAGUCCUUUCUAUAAUUUGCUGUUCUAAUUAAGUAAGGUGAUGAAGAAGGCCA